rnacentral:rRNA from 1 species
AUUGAACGCUGGCGGCAUGCCUUACACAUGCAAGUCGAACGGCAGCGGGGGAGAAGCUUGCUUUUCCUGCCGGCGAGUGGCGAACGGGUGAGUAAUACAUCGGAACGUGCCCUGUAGUGGGGGAUAACUAGUCGAAAGAUUAGCUAAUACCGCAUACGACCUGAGGGUGAAAGUGGGGGACCGCAGGGCCUCAUGCUAUAGGAGCGGCCGAUGUCUGAUUAGCUAGUUGGUGGGGUAAAGGCCUACCAAGGCGACGAUCAGUAGCUGGUCUGAGAGGACGAUCAGCCACGCUGGGACUGAGACACGGCCCAGACUCCUACGGGAGGCAGCAGUGGGGAAUUUUGGACAAUGGGCGAAAGCCUGAUCCAGCAAUGCCGCGUGUGUGAAGAAGGCCUUCGGGUUGUAAAGCACUUUUGUCCGGAAAGAAGUGGCUCUGGUUAAUACCUGGGGUCGAUGACGGUACCGGAAGAAUAAGGACCGGCUAACUACGUGCCAGCCGCCGCGGUAA